rnacentral:rRNA from 1 species
GUCAGAUGUGAAAGACCCGGGGCGUCAACCUCGGAAUAGCAUUUGAAACUAGGCAGACUAGAGUACUGUAGAGGGGGGUAGGAAUUUCAGGUGUAGCGGUGAAAUGCGUAGAGAUCUGAAGGAAUACCGGUGGCGAAGGCGGCCCCCUGGACAGAUACUGACACUCAGAUGCGAAAGCGUGGGGAGCAAACAGGAUUAGAUACCCUGGUAG